UCAUGUUUGUGGCUGUAAUGUGACAAAAUGUGGAAAAGUUCAAGGGGGCCGAAUACUUUUGCAAGCCACUGUAUAUUAACGUGUCCCGGAGAAACUCCACCCCCUCCUGAUCACUAAUUGCACACACCUGGGAGUUCACAGAGGCCAAUAAGAGGCCCUGGCAGGACAGAGAGCAAGAGAGAUGGCAAAGUAGCUGGCGGCAAGCAGCAGUGACAGACAGGUCGGAGGACAUUCUCAGUGGAGCUCAACUGGCGGCGACAACAGGCUUGGAGGCGCUGGCGAGUGGCUGCAGAGAGGCAACUGGGAAUAUUCUGCAGCGGUGGACUUUUUAUACAACGGCUGACAAGUAACCCCAGGUGUGAUCCUUCGUUGUGGCCAGGUGAUGAUGCUGAACUGAUAGCUGCAUCCCAGUCUGUGGAAGCCCAAAGAUUAAAAGAACUGGGAGAUUUUAACAACUUGGUGCCUGGUGACCCGGAUCUUUGGUGUGCUGAGGAGGGGCAGAUUUGGCCUGUGGUGAGAUCGUGGGGCGAGGCGAACAGAAGACCGGUCUAACAGAAUAAAAAGGCCUUGACUGAAUUCUUUGCUGUGCUUCACACAGCCUGAUGAGGAGCAGAGGCACAGAGUGAAAAGGAUGAAUUAAUAGUGUAAGUUUUAGGUCGAAGUACUGCAUUUUCUGUGAUUGAAAUUUAAUUCAAGGAGGAACAAAAGGUGUUACGGUACCUGAGGUUCUCAUUCCCACACAAUAUUGUCCCGACAGGAAGCAAAACGUUCCUGUGAAUUUCUGGUUGAUUUUUUGGUUUUGCUUAGCGCUAGCUUGAUUUUAUCAGUGAGCUUUGGCUUGUGUUCUUUCUCGUAAGCGAGAGAGGGAUAGUUUUAUGCUUGAACAUGUCUGCAACGGGCCCUAGUUUGUGUUAUUUUUAUUAGUAUUUUGUUGAUUACGUCUGUUUUUGUUUUUGUUACAGUGCACUGAGGAAAAUCUGAGAGGUGAUCCACCGGUGGUGAUAUUUUGUGAGUUCAUGAUUUAACAAUCAGCUCUUUAAACCAGGCCUGAAAGAUUGAGAUUUAAAGCGCUAUAAAAUAUUAUUACUGUAAACAGUUGC